AGCAGUCGCCGCGGUAAUACGUAGGGUGCAAGCGUUAAUCGGAAUUACUGGGCGUAAAGCGUGCGCAGGCGGUUAUAUAAGUCAGAUGUGAAAUCCCCGGGCUCAACCUGGGAACUGCAUUUGAGACUGUAUGGCUAGAGUGUGUCAGAGGGGGGUAGAAUUCCACGUGUAGCAGUGAAAUGCGUAGAGAUGUGGAGGAACACCGAUGGCGAAGGCAGCCCCCUGGGCCAAUACCGACGCUCAUGCACGAAAGCGUGGGGAGCAAACAGGAUUAGAUACCCGGGUAGUCCCUGUCUCUUAUAA
rnacentral:rRNA from 1 species